AUUGAACGCUGGCGGCAUGCUUUACACAUGCAAGUCGAACGGCAGCGCGGGCUUCGGCCUGGCGGCGAGUGGCGAACGGGUGAGUAAUGCAUCGGAACGUGCCCAGUAGUGGGGGAUAGCCCGGCGAAAGCCGGAUUAAUACCGCAUACGACCUGAGGGUGAAAGCGGGGGACCGAAAGGCCUCGCGCUAUUGGAGCGGCCGAUGUCGGAUUAGCUAGUUGGUGGGGUAAAGGCUUACCAAGGCGACGAUCCGUAGCUGGUCUGAGAGGACGACCAGCCACACUGGGACUGAGACACGGCCCAGACUCCUACGGGAGGCAGCAGUGGGGAAUUUUGGACAAUGGGGGCAACCCUGAUCCAGCCAUGCCGCGUGCGGGAAGAAGGCCUUCGGGUUGUAAACCGCUUUGUUCGGGAAGAAAUCCUCUGGGCUAAUACCCCGGGGGGAUGACGGUACCGGAAGAAUAAGCACCGGCUAACUACGUG
rnacentral:rRNA from 1 species